rnacentral:rRNA from 1 species
CGCUGGCGGCAUGCCUUACACAUGCAAGUCGAACGGCAGCACGGGAGUAAUCCUGGUGGCGAGUGGCGAACGGGUGAGUAAUAUAUCGGAACGUGCCCAGUCGUGGGGGAUAACGCAGCGAAAGCUGUGCUAAUACCGCAUACGAUCUCUGGAUGAAAGCGGGGGACUCGCAAGAGCCUCGCGCGAUUGGAGCGGCCGAUAUCAGAUUAGCUAGUUGGUGGGGUAAAGGCCCACCAAGGCGACGAUCUGUAGCUGGUCUGAGAGGACGACCAGCCACACUGGAACUGAGACACGGUCCAGACUCCUACGGGAGGCAGCAGUGGGGAAUUUUGGACAAUGGGCGAAAGCCUGAUCCAGCAAUGCCGCGUGCAGGAUGAAGGCCUUCGGGUUGUAAACUGCUUUUGUACGGAACGAAACGGUCUCUCUUAAUACGGGGGGCUAAUGACGGUACCGUAAGAAUAAGCACCGGCUAACUACGUGCCAGCAGCCGCGGUAAUACGUAGGGUGCGAGCGUUAAUCGGAAUUACUGGGCGUAAAGCGUGCGCAGGCGGUUAUAUAAGACAGAUGUGAAAUCCCCGGGCUCAACCUGGGACCUGCAUUUGUGACUGUAUAGCUAGAGUACGGUAGAGGGGGAUGGAAUUCCGCGUGUAGCAGUGAAAUGCGUAGAUAUGCGGAGGAACACCGAUGGCGAAGGCAAUCCCCUGACCUGUACUGACGCUCAUGCACGAAAGCGUGGGGAGC